rnacentral:rRNA from 1 species
CAUGUUGCUGACUAGUGUUUCUAAGUAUGUGCACGCCACACCUUCAAUCCCACUUACACCUGUGCACCUUCUGUAAUAGAUCUAUGUGGAUACGGAGAUAUGAAAGUUUGCACUCCCGUACUCUGUUGAAGCAGGCUCUACUACGUUUUUUUUACUUAUCUACACACACAAUAAUCAUUGAAUGUAUUUUUUUUAUUCUUUAUGAUAAAAACAACUUUCAUCAACGGAUCUGAUGGCUCGCCCAUCGAUGAAGAACGUAGCGAAUUACGAUAUGUAAUGUGAAUUGCAGAAUUCAGUGAAUCAUCUAAUCUUUGAACGCACCUUGCGCUCUUUGGUAUUCCGAAGAGCAUGCCUGUUUGGUUGUCAUGAAUCUCUCAAAUACAAUGAUUUUUAUUAAUUGUUGUGUUUGGACUUGGAAAUGCUUGUCCGGCGCAAGUCGACUCUUCUUAAAUGUAUUAGUCUGGGGUUUAUAUAGUUGGAUCCUUGGUGUGAUAAUUAUCUACGCCUUGAAGUCCCUGUAGACUCUGCUUCAAAUCGUCUCCUAGAGACAACAUUUGAAUCAUCUGACCUCAAAUCAGGUAGGACUACCCGCUGAACUUAACCAUAUCAAUAAGACAGAAGGAAAAAGAAAA